UGUUGAUGUUAAAGAGCCCUCCCGUGUAGAAAUGUUCCUUUUGACACAUAAGCCAAAGGAUGGAAAUAAGACAUAGGAUGGAACAAGUAGAAUUGUUUCAGAGCUUGAGGAGGCCAUUACAUUACACCCUGAAGCAGAGGAAAGCACAACUCAGGAUGAUUUAUUUUCCCAAGUCUUGGGUAAAGAGAGACCUGACUUUGUACGCACAUAUGGAAAAGGGGUUGCACCUAUAGAUUUAUGGGGAACUAAGUCUACAAUUGAAAUCCAGAAAAUAAUAGAUGAAGUAAAGAGGAAUGCUAGAGUAGAGAUGCAAGAGGAGAUGCAAGUAAAAUUACAAGAACAAGUGGAAGCCAUCAAAACUGAAAUGUUUACUGGUUUUAAAACAUUUUUGGCUCAGCUGUAGACAUGCUUUCCAACAGUAGCAAUUCCAGAAUUUUCUAGCAUGUGGAAUCCAAAUAUAAAUGAAAGAGAUAUGAAUGACAAAAUUAACUCUCAUAGGAAGAAAAAGCGGAAGGAGGAAAAAGCUCAAAGGAAGCAUGUUGAAAGUAAAUCAAAAGAAUCUAAAGCAAAGAAGGCCAAAGUUUUAAAAGAUUUAAAUGUGCCCGAGCAUUCUCCCACUAUGUCUCCCAAUAUGGUAAUU